UUAGGGUAGAAGGAAAGGGGCUGCACCCUAUGUGGGCUGUUGUUGAGAUGGAGACCCAGCAGGGCGCAGAAUCAGAGCGGAGGUUAGGGCAGAGCCAGAUGUGGAGACAGGCAGUGGCCUGGAGAGGGCUCCACCAGCUAUGAGAAGACUUGGACCUGCCAGAGGGCCCAGGGAAGGAUGGAGGGAAUCCUGCCUGGGCUGGUUCUGGGCCAGGCCUGAGGGAAGCUGGCCACACUUUGUGACCAUGUCAUCCUUGGGGCGGCUGCGUGUGCUUUGGGGUAGCGAUGUCACCAGGCAAGGCCACUCCCACAGCACGCAUUCCGGUCACUGGCCAGUGUGGGUCCGUGCUCUUGUGAUGAGGGGAAUGCAGCAGUUGACAAGCAGUGGCUUUCACUGGAUGCUCACUGGACCUGCCAAUCAUGCAACUUCUGGCUCUCCCCCAAAGUCACGAUGA
rnacentral:lncRNA from 1 species